rnacentral:rRNA from 1 species
UACGGGGGGGGCAAGCGUUGUUCGGAAUUACUGGGCGUAAAGGGUUUGUAGGUGGCCCGCUAAGUCACACGUGAAAUCCCUCAGCUUAACUGGGGAACUGCGUGUGAGACUGGCAGGCUCGAGGGCAGGAGAGGAACGCGGAAUUCCAGGUGUAGCGGUGAAAUGCGUAGAUAUCUGGAGGAACACCGAUGGCGAAGGCGGCGUUCUGGACUGUCUCUGACACUGAAGAACGAAAGCCAGGGGAGCAAACGGG